GGCCUCUCUAUUUUCUUUCUUAUUUUCUUUUUCUAUUUUUUUCUUUUCGAAAUAAUUUUGAUUGAAUCUGAACUCAUAUGAUUAGGCAUGUCCUUGUUAUCCCUUCUGAUCAAAAUCGACACUUUUCCAGAUAAGGCCUUCAACAUAAGGCCCUUCCCAUCUUGGAUAAAAUUCUUUUUGUAUGGGAAAGAUCCUCUUCAAUACCAGGUCCCUCUCAAGGAGUUCUCUAGGGCGGACAUUUUUUGUGAGCUCGCAUCAUUAUUUUUUUGGCGCAUUUG
rnacentral:lncRNA from 1 species